rnacentral:misc_RNA from 1 species
GAUGAAGAACGCAGCGAAAUGCGAUAAGUAGUGUGAAUUGCAGAAUUCAGUGAAUCAUCGAAUCUUUGAACGCACAUUGCGCCCCUUGGUAUUCCAUGGGGCAUGCCUGUUCGAGCGUCAUCUACACCCUCAAGCUCUGCUUGGUGUUGGGCGUCUGUCCCGCCCCCGCGCGUGGACUCGCCCCAAAUCCAUUGGCAGCGUUCCUUGCCCCCUCUCGCGCAGCACAUUGCGCUUCUCGAGGGCGGCUACCGGGACGCGAUCCAGCAAGAUGACCACCGUCUUUGACCUCGGAUCAGGUAGGGAUACCCGCUGAACUUAAGCAUAUCAAUAAGCGGAGGA